rnacentral:rRNA from 1 species
CGGACGGGUGAGUAAUGUCUGGGAAACUGCCUGAUGGAGAGGGAUAACUACUGGAAACGGUAGCUAAUACCGCAUAACGUCGCAAGACCAAAGAGGGGGACCUUCGGGCCUCUUGCCAUCGGAUGUGCCCAGAUGGGAUUAGCUAGUAGGUGGGGUAACGGCUCACCUAGGCGACGAUCCCUAGCUGGUCUGAGAGGAUGACCAGCCACACUGGAACUGAGACACGGUCCAG